CAGUAAGGAAUAUUGGGCAAUGGACGGAAGUCUGACCCAGCCAUCCCGCGUGCAGGAAGAAUGCCCUAUGGGUUGUAAACUGCUUUUGUUUGGGAAGAAAUGUACUUUUUUAAGAGUAUUUGACGGUACCAGACGAAUAAGCACCGGCUAACUCCGUGCCAGCAGCCGCGGUAAUACGGAGGGUGCAAGCGUUAUCCGGAAUCACUGGGUUUAAAGGGUGCGUAGGCGGCCAGAUAAGUCAGAGGUGAAAGUUUCCGGCUCAACCGGGAGAUUGCCUUUGAUACUGUUUGGCUUGAAUCAGAUUGAGGUUGGCGGAAUGUGACAUGUAGCGGUGAAAUGCAUAGAUAUGUCAUAGAACAUCGAUUGCGAAGGCAGCUGGCUGGAUCUGUAUUGACGCUGAGGCACGAAAGCGUGGGGAGCAAACAGGAUUAGAUACCCCAGUAGUC
rnacentral:rRNA from 1 species